UACGGGGGGAGCAAGCGUUGUUCGGAUUUACUGGGCGUAAAGGGCGCGUAGGCGGUCGUGCCAAGUCACCUGUGAAAUCUCCGGGCUUAACCCGGAAAGGUCAAGUGAUACUGUCGGACUAGAGUACAGAAGGGGCAACUGGAAUUCUCGGUGUAGCGGUGAAAUGCGUAGAUAUCUGGAGGAACACCGGUGGCGAAGGCGACGUCCUGGACCGGCAUUGACGCUGAGGCGCGAAAGCGUGGGGAGCGAACAGG
rnacentral:rRNA from 1 species